UCAAAUCAGCUUCAGCUUUCAGGACAGAACAUUUAUUUAAGCUCUAAACUGAACAAAAUCCUACAUUGUUCAAUUAAUCUGUUGUUUCUUUAUGUAACUUGUACGGCCAGGAUGCUGCAUGUCACCAUUUCAUUUGAAGCUGAUCUGCAGGGAUAUGCACAGACAUUUUGGGGGGCAGGGUCUCAAGUGAAAAAGGGCACUUCUCAUAAUUAUUUAUUUAAAAAAAUAAUUUUUUAACAAAACACUAAAUAUAUUAACACAACUCUGACUUCCUUUAUUUUAAUCAGAACGCAACAAAGUCUAAUCUCCCAUCCUAAUAUUUAGAUUUUUUAUUCAAUAAAUACAUUUGUUUGACAGGGAAGCUGUGUGCAAACAGGAAUAUAUAUUCAUUUAUUAAAAGAAAAAGAAGCUCUCCAGAAAAAAGGCACUUUCUCUCUAGGAAAAAAAUGGCAGGUGCUCAAGCCCCUUUGAUGUCUAUGUGUGCAGUGCCUGCUGAUCUGUUUAACUCUGCUGCUUUUCAUCAAUCUGACGCUUGUGCAGAAUGAGCUAAAAAUGGUCACUAAAAGAGAUGACAUCCUCUGACAACUUUUCAUUAUGUAGGCCAAUCCUCUCUGUAUUCAGCUUAUGUCUUGGAGCAAGCAAGACAAAAAAAACUCUCCCCACCACUUUUACUCAGGGGAGUGACUCCAUAAAAGUCUGCAGCUGCCGUCAGUCAGAGCAGAUAUUAGAGGUACGGCUCACACAAAAAUGGCCCCCUCUCUCUCAAUGUCACAUAAACUGUGUGAUGGCCUUGCUGUUAAAUGGAGUGGAAUUGAUUUUACGCAGCGAGCAGCAAGGCGGUGAGCAUCCACAGACAUCUGAAGGGUCCCCUCCUCGUCACACUCCCCCCAAAAAAUGAUUAUAGUUAUAUAAGUUUCCCUCCCACUCCCUUCAUCCUCUCUACCAUCAGCAGGGGUGUUGUCAUAGCAACCCCCACCCCUCCUUUUGAACGUCAGAGACAGGAGCUUGGUAGGAUAAGAGCCGCAUGCAGCUUCUGUCUCUUGUGCCUCUCGGAGAGCACCUUUCGCCGUCUCACAUGCAACAGUCAGAGCUGCAGCGCUGGAAAUAAUCUGAUGAUUGAUUUGACUCACGACUGCUGCACAUCACAUACCAUCUAAGACCAAGAGAACAACAGAUUCAGCAGCGUCUGCAGCCGUGAUGUCGUGGCUGUUCUUGGACUGGUUCGUCCCCCUCUACCUGCUGGUGUCGGUUUUGGUGCUGGCAGGCUUCGGAGCGUGCCUUUACUUCCUCGAGCCAGGGCUGCAGGAUGCCCACAAGUGGAGCAACAAAACAGUCCGGCAUCACCCGCUGGUGGCCAGUGUGAACUGCAGAGAUGACGAUAGCAAUGCCCUGAUAUGAUCAAGAGGGCGAGGUGGAGCAAGGCGGGAGGCCAUCUGGACAGGGGUUCUGCCAGCACACCGGUGGAAUGGGAGCCGACACCUUACAGAUGGAGAAAGAAAAUGAGAAAGAUGGAGGAGAGAAUACCCUGUCCUAUCAUUCCAACUUUUCUUUGACCUCUAACAUACUUUAUGUAGAGAUCAGGGGAAAGUGAAGCAGAGGGGGAAGCCAAAUGCGCAUGGAGGAGAAGACUUCAUGUAGGAUAAGAUUGUGAUGUGGUUGGAGGACAUGUUGCCCUUUAGAAAUGUGAUUUAAACAUGAUGUAAAUGUCACGCCAUCAUCUACUUGUGCCAACUUUUACAUACGUUUUGUAAUUUGACAAUCACUUUACAUAAAUCAUGAAGUUAUAAUUCUACUUCUACUUAUAUUGUGCUUUAAAUUAGUGAAGUGAGUGACAGAAGUGCAAUGAGUUUGUCGCCAGUGGGGAGGGUUUUCAAUCCUCUCUUUCUCUCUCUGGUUAUGUCUGCACGGCAGCUGCUGAGAAGCAUGUGGAUUGUUUGUGCCAUUGUGCCAAAAUGGUGUUAGUAGUGACUUUAUUAAAAUAUGUACUGAAUAAAUGCAACACAAUUUACUCAAGAUGCCAAAAUUAUCCUAGAUGAACCAAGAUUACUGAAAACUAGUAUUUGGUAAUGCUCAAAGUGUAUAUUUUUUGUUUUCAUUGUUUUUACUUGACAGCAUGGUGAGGAAACUUUUGAUGAUCAUAUGCCUACUUUGUUCAUACAAAAUAAAGCUGUUUAAUCCUCAA